UCCUUAUAAGAGCAGUCCGAUUGAAGAAGACGACUCAGAGAAAGUAUGGACUGCUGUCCAAUCAAGAGGACAACAUGGAGAUGGCGCAUCUUGAGAGCGACGAGGAAGACAUGACUGUUUACGAAGCGAAGGCACUGAGAAGAUGAGUCCUGGGUAUCUGGCCAAUAGAGCAGCGACGACUGGAAAAGAAUGGAAGCGGGGGCUUUCUUCAAGCUUAUUUUUUCACCACUAGAAUUUAGUUUUUAUUUUUCUCCAUAUCCACGAGAGGCAAUAGACUGGAUAUUCAAAUGAUUUUUCUGUAACCUUUUUAACAUAAGCAUAUGAAUUGUUAAAAGAUAGGUAUGCAUUGGUUUGUGGUGAGCAAAUGAGCAAGUCUUCUUGGUUUUUAUUUAAUCAUCUUUGGCAGAUGUGUUGGAGGUUAUAGAGUGCAGUAAGUGAACGGAAUCUGUCAGGCACCCUUUAGUGCUGAAACUGCCUGUGCAGUGUCCUGUCACUCCAAAGUUCUGUGGACAUCGUGCCCAUCAGACCCCCACAAACAGUCUGGUUUUCUAUUUUUGGCAUUGUCACAAGGCACAGACUUAUGGGGGGGGGGGGUUCUUUUUAUUUAUAUCAUUAAAUAUCUUGUGUCUUUAUUCAUGUUACAUCAAUUCACCACCUAUUGUGACCUUUUUAGUCACAGGUUUAAAAAAAUGGUGGCCUUCAAGAUUUUUCAUGAUCUUUUUUUUUUUUUUUUUGCUUUUUUUUAACGUUUACGCUUAUCUCUGUACUGAAUAUUAGUUCUCAGUGGUCAAACUUCACUGUGAACAUCUUGCGUUCAGACUGGGCAGAUUAGACCAGCGUGAUCGAUUGCCUGAGGGGAGUUUCUCACCGAGAUCCUUCCAAUGUGCCAAUACAUCGCGAGCCAGCCGUCCUCGCCUGACUGGUUCAUCCAGUGGGACUGUCAUCCACUGUUUAAUAGCCCUAGCCGCGCGAUCUGGUUAUAACCACAACAGAAGAGAGUUGCUCACAGAAGCCUUCAUUCUAAAAUCCAUAGACAAUCUCAGGGGUGAUAAAGAGCCCGAUCCUAGAGCUCCAUUAUCUUCAAAUUGAUGAAUUAUUAACCAUUAUCUCCAAAGCUGGAUUCUUUUAGAGGUCAUAUUGCUCAUCAUUGAGAUAAGGAUGUUGGCAGAGGACAGGUUUGAUUGGAGAUUUCCUCCCUCUGUUCUGGCUGCAGUCCUUCCAACGUGAUAUUUUCCAACUAACAUGGACAAUGUUGUACCGAGAUGUGCAUUUAUUUAACAUUGGAAUGUGGCUAUACAGUGAUGAUCCUCCUUGCACUUCAUUGGACUUUAUUCUUGACUUCAUAUUUUGUGGCGUAAUUCCAGUGCUGUAAGUUUAUUGGGCUGAGGAUUCUGUUCUCAGAGAGGCAGACUAACUGUUGGCUUGGAUUCCCUUAAUGCGUUUUGGUUCUUUUAAUGUAAGCACUUGUCACUCACAAUUGUGUACCAUAGCUGGUGUUCAACCUUUGUUUUGUCAAAUGUUUGAUUCAGCACUGGAAAGUGUUGGUCAUGUCACUUCAGCAGUGAUUUUUGCAGAAACAUCUCUAAAUUGUUGUUUGUGAUUUCUUCAUGUUGGAUUUAAUUUUCGUUCGCGUGUGCCAACCAUCCACAAACAUGCAGGCCUGCUCAAGAUCAGAAUUUAAGCAGAUCCUGCAGACUCAGACGAACUGUAUUCAGAAAGCCAAAGAAUUAAUAUGGAAGAUUGCAUGUUUGAAAAUGUGUAAGUUAAAAAGGUAAUGUUCUCUGCUUGUUUAUUGUAAUGUUUCAUGUAAUAAUCUCUGUAUGCUGCAAAAGCAUAUGCACUGUUGUAAAUCCCUUUGACCGCAGCACUCCUGCUCCACAGGCAGGUAUACGAAACGAAGGAGGGAAAUAAGGUGAUUUGACGCAAGGCUUUACACUGUUAAACAUUUGCUUAAUUGUAAUUAAUUUUGUGCUCUUUCUCAGGGGGUUACCUGUAAUUGCGAGUAAGUGCGAUUUUUCCUGUGGUGGUGUUAAUCGAAUGAGAUGAGCGGCCAAGCGAGACAUGGCUUCUGCUGUAGGAAUGGACCGUUGGGUUAUUGAGCCAGAACCCACUGAGAAAUCUCACAUCUUCUCUGCGCAGACUGGAUUUCAGGGUAUCGAACACGGAGCUGACGUUUGGUUUUUGUGUCUUGCGGCCCUGACAUUCCAUUACCUUUGUAAAGGACAGCAGAAUUAUCAGUCAAAGCAUCUCAGAAAAUUUGGCUCUGAGUGUGUCACUCCAUUUUGCAAAUUGUGAGGGUUCUGUGGCUUUUGGGGGCCUAUCUCAUCCACAAAAAUGAUUUUGUUCAUUUUUGGUUUAAGUCAUUAAUAAUCUCUUUAUGAAGCCACAAACACUCCAGUUUGUCAGUGCUGAUAUUAAAUUUAAAAAAAGGAAAAAAGAGAGGUCAGGAUAGAGGCAGUAAUGGUGUUGGUUCUAAAAUAUUUUUGGAAUACUUACCCAUGACUGGACAGAAUGGGCAACCUCAGGAAGAAAGGUGCGUGAGAUUAAUCUGUCUGGACCAAAUUUUGUGGGAAAUAUUCCUGAUUCCCUUCAGCCAAAACGAUGCAUUCUGGAGUAUGACGUGUUUGUAAUUAGAAUUCCAGCAGUGAGACAAGUCGUAAAGGCUAUAGAGAACAUCAAAUGUGUGAGUGGGGGCUCGCAAUGAUGUCAUGCCAACUGCGUCUACUCACUUGAAAGUAUGAUUAUUUUUGUGAAAACUAUUUUUAAACUGAUGCUGUAAAUGGCUUGUAUCUCCUUCAAGCUGAUUUUUGUAAUCUCUUAAAGUUAAUUUGUCUGUAAGGAGUUGACAAAUCUGAGCUCUUUUAGUUGAAUUUCACAGAUGUCUGAAUUGGUUGUUUGAUUAUAUGCGAUGAAAAACAAACAGAAGCUGCAACUUUGUGGAAACAGGCUUUCGCAGCUCGCUCAAGUGUUUGUUUAGAGCUUCGUCAAAUACUACACUCUCAUUUUGCAAAACAAGUACUAUAUUAUUCUGUUCUUCCUUGCUGCUUCCUUCUUCCUUACUUCUCAAUUCUGUUGGUAUCAAAUUGAAUUCCCUGGAUAUUUAAACAGAGUUUGCAUAAUUGGGGCCAAAUACUGCAGUAGACUGGGAGGGAAGGUUAUAAAGAGUAUGCAACUCUGAAUGGGAAUUAAUGACUUAAUUUCCAUUUUUGAUUUGAAAGUGAAAGUGUCUUCAGGAUGCAGAGGGGCAGUGCCUUUCCUCUCUGAUAAUGCAGCAGUACUUGACUGCAGACAAUCAGGAGCUUGUGUUGUACACAGUGAACUCUUUUCUAAUAAAACCAUAACGAGUGAUUUUCAAUACA